UGCCCGUUGCCCGGGGACAACCGGUGGAAACGCCGACUAAUCCCCGAUGGGAUACGAUGCUUCAUGGCAUUGUAUUGAAAGUUACGGCGGCGACGGAUUGGCUCGCGUCCGAUUAGCUGGUUGGCGGGGUAACGGCCCACCAAGGCUACGAUCGGUAGGGGUUCUGAGAGGAAGGCCCCCCACAAUGGGACUGAGACACGGCCCAUACUCCUACGGGAGGCAGCAGUGAGGAAUAUUGGUCAAUGGGCGGAAGCCUGAACCAGCCAUGCCGCGUGCGGGAAGGAGGCCCUAUGGGCUGUGAACCGCUUUUGCCUGGGGGCAAUAAGGGCGUCGCGCACGUCCGAUGAGAGUACCAGGCGAAUAAGCAUCGGCUAACUCCGUGCCAGCAGCCGCGGUAAUACGGGGGAUGCGAGCGUUAUCCGGAUUCAUUGGGUUUAAAGGGUGCGUAGGCUGUGCGUCAAGUCGGGGGUGAAAUUCCGGUGCUCAACACCGGGGCUGCCCUUGAUACUGUCGCGCUGGAGUGCGGAUGCCGCCGGAGGAAUGAGUGGUGUAGCGGUGAAAUGCUUAGAUAUCACUCAGAACACCGAUUGCGAAGGCAUCUGGCGAAUCCGUAACUGACGCUGAGGCACGAAAGCGUGGGGAUAGAACAGGAUUAGAUACCCUGGUAUUCCACGCCGUAAACGAUGAUGGCUAACCGCCGGCGACACACUGUCAGUGGCCAAG
rnacentral:rRNA from 1 species